UUUUGUGCUUGAUGAGAAACAUAAAAAUUCAGUUAUCCCUGUCUGAUUCAUCUGUGCUGAUUAUUGUUGAUUCUGACACAAAC
rnacentral:snoRNA from 1 species